ACCCGCUGAAUUUAAGCAUAUCAAUAAGCGGAGGAAAAGAAACCAACAGGGAUUGCCUUAGUAACGGCGAGUGAAGCGGCAAAAGCUCAAAUUUGAAAUCUGGCACCUUCGGUGUCCGAGUUGUAAUUUGAAGAAGGUAACUUUGGAGUUGGCUCUUGUCUAUGUUCCUUGGAACAGGACGUCACAGAGGGUGAGAAUCCCGUGCGAUGAGAUGCCCAAUUCUAUGUAAAGUGCUUUCGAAGAGUCGAGUUGUUUGGGAAUGCAGCUCUAAGUGGGUGGUAAAUUCCAUCUAAAGCUAAAUAUUGGCGAGAGACCGAUAGCGAACAAGUACAGUGAUCGAAAGAUGAAAAGCACUUUGAAAAGAGAGUUAAAAAGUACGUGAAAUUGUUAAAAGGGAAGGGUAUUGAAUCAGACUUGGUGCUGUUGUUCAACUGUGUUUCGGCAUAGUGUACUCAGCAGUACUAGGCCAAGGUGGGGUGUUUGGGAGUGAAAAAGAAGUUGGAAGGUAACUCUUCGGAGUGUUAUAGCCUACUUUCAUAGCUCCUCAGGCGCCUCAGGACUGCGCUUCGGCAAGGACCUUGGCAUAAUGAUUCUAUACCGCCCGUCUUGAAACACGGACCAAGGAG
rnacentral:rRNA from 1 species